rnacentral:rRNA from 1 species
AACGAACGCUGGCGGCAGGCCUAGCACAUGCAAGUCGAACGAAGUCUUCGGACUUAGUGGCGCACGGGUGAGUAACACGUGGGAAUAUACCUUUCGCUGGGGGAUAACAUCGGGAAACUGAUGCUAAUACCGCAUACGCCCUUCGGGGGAAAGAUUUAUCGGCGAAAGAUUAGCCCGCGUCCGAUUAGCUAGUUGGUGAGGUAAUGGCUCACCAAGGCCCCGAUCGGUAGCUGGUCUGAGAGGAUGACCAGCCACACUGGGACUGAGACACGGCCCAGACUCCUACGGGAGGCAGCAGUGGGGAAUAUUGGACAAUGGGCGCAAGCCUGAUCCAGCCAUGCCGCGUGAGUGAUGAAGGCCUUAGGGUUGUAAAGCUCUUUCACCCACGACGAUGAUGACGGUAGUGGGAGAAGAAGCCCCGGCUAACUUCGUGCCAGCAGCCGCCGUAA